UGUUUUUCUCUUUGUAUCGUUAGAGGAUGUUCACCAAGAUUUUCUAAAUUCGAUAUAAUGGAGAUGUAAAGCCCAGAAAGGAUUUUUAUCUUGCGAGAUAUCCUACUUGGUAUUUUAAUCUAGGUACGAUCAGCCCGGAAACGUUCGCAGAAAAAAACAUCGAUGAACUGGAUGUCCCGUCGAAACAAGUGAAGACAAACAUCAGCCGAAAGCUAAACUCAAACGCCAAAUAGUGGCCGAAUUGCGAAAUAAACAUCGUCCUUAUGGUCAUGUUGUUGAA